CAUGCGCUUCCCGAGCAUUAUAGGAGAUUGAUGACAGACCCAAACUCGCCUACUAUUGAUUUUUAUCCCACUAAUUUUGGAGUGGACAUGAAUGGCAAGAGGUUUUCUUGGCAGGGCAUUGCCAAAUUGCCUUUCAUUGAUGAAGCUUGGCUCCUUGCA